UACAGAGGGUGCGAGCGUUAAUCGGAAUUACUGGGCGUAAAGCGCGCGUAGGCGGCUUGUUAAGUCAAAUGUGAAAUCCCCGAGCUUAACUUGGGCAUUGCAUUCGAUACUGGCAAGCUAGAGUAUGGGAGAGGAAGGUAGAAUUCCACGUGUAGCAGUGAAAUGCGUAGAGAUGUGGAGGAACACCGAUGGCGAAGGCAGCCCCCUGGGUUAACACUGACGCUCAGGCACGAAAGCGUGGGGAGCAAACAGG
rnacentral:rRNA from 1 species